UACAGAAGGGGCUAGCGUUAUUCGGAAUUACUGGGCGUAAAGCACACAUAGGCGGAUCGGAAAGUCAAAGGUGAAAUCCCAAGGCUCAACCUUGAAACUGCCUUUGAAACUCCUGGUCUUGAGGUCGUGAGAGGUGAGUGGAAUUCCGAGUGUAGAGGUGAAAUUCGUAGAUAUUCGGAGGAACACCAGUGGCGAAGGCGGCUCACUGGCACAAUACUGACGCUGAGGUACGAAAGCGUGAGGAGCAAACAGG
rnacentral:rRNA from 1 species